rnacentral:rRNA from 1 species
GACGAACGCUGGCGGCGUGCUUAACACAUGCAAGUCGAACGGUGAAGGGACCGGUUUUUGCUGGUUCUGGAUGAGUGGCGAACGGGUGAGUAACACGUGAGUAACCUGCCCCCUUCUUCUGGAUAACCGCAUGAAAGUGUGGCUAAUACGGGAUAUUCUGCGCCUGCUGCAUGGUGGGUGUGGGAAAGAUAUUGUUUCGGUGGGGGGUGGGCUCGCGGCCUAUCGGCUUGUUGGUGGGGUGAUGGCCUACCAAGGCGGUGACGGGUAGCCGGCCUGAGAGGGUGGACGGUCACACUGGGACUGAGACACGGCCCAGACUCCUACGGGAGGCAGCAGUGGGGAAUAUUGCACAAUGGGCGCAAGCCUGAUGCAGCGACGCCGCGUGAGGGAUGGAGGCCUUCGGGUUGUAAACCUCUUUCGCCAGUGAAGCAGGCCUGUCCCUUUUGUGGGUGGGUUGACGGUAGCUGGAUAAGAAGCGCCGGCUAACUACGUG